rnacentral:rRNA from 1 species
ACGCUGGCGGCAGGCCUAACACAUGCAAGUCGAGCGGUAGAGAGAAGCUUGCUUCUCUUGAGAGCGGCGGACGGGUGAGUAAUGCCUAGGAAUCUGCCUGGUAGUGGGGGAUAACGUUCGGAAACGGACGCUAAUACCGCAUACGUCCUACGGGAGAAAGCAGGGGACCUUCGGGCCUUGCGCUAUCAGAUGAGCCUGGGCCGGAUUAGCUAGUUGGUGAGGUAAUGGCUCACCAAGGCGACGAUCCGUAACUGGUCUGAGAGGAUGAUCAGUCACACUGGAACUGAGACACGGUCCAGACUCCUACGGGAGGCAGCAGUGGGGAAUAUUGGACAAUGGGCGAAAGCCUGAUCCAGCCAUGCCGCGUGUGUGAAGAAGGUCUUCGGAUUGUAAAGCACUUUAAGUUGGGAGGAAGGGCAGUUACCUAAUACGUGAUUGUUUUGACGUUACCGACAGAAUAAGCACCGGCUAACUCUGUGCCAGCAGCCGCGGUAAUACAGAGGGUGCAAGCGUUAAUCGGAAUUACUGGGCGUAAAGCGCGCGUAGGUGGUUAGUUAAGUUGGAUGUGAAAUCCCCGGGCUCAACCUGGGAACUGCAUUCAAAACUGACUGACUAGAGUAUGGUAGAGGGUGGUGGAAUUUCCUGUGUAGCGGUGAAAUGCGUAGAUAUAGGAAGGAACACCAGUGGCGAAGGCGACCACCUGGACUGAUACUGUCACUGAGGUGCGAAAGCGUGGGGAGCAAAC